AAGUAGGGGAGACCGGGUACAAACGUAACGGCGGGUCGAAAGUAACAAAUGCUCUCUAGAUUCAUCCAAUGGUCGAACACAGCUCCGCCGCCGUCAGGCGAUAGCUGAGAGCACCCCCCUCACUUGUAGUUAGUCGCCGCGUACUUCAAGCACUGUUAGAUUGUGUGAGAGGAUACUAAGUGUUUUUACAAACCAAAAAAUGCCGCGACAACGCAUAAGAACAACUACACGACACAUAAGUGUAUAGAAAAGCGGCGGAUAAUUUUUUUUCUGAAAUGUGGCACGAUAGUCAAAUGGCUGGUAAUGAAUGGUUGACGGGUUUUUUAAAACGGCACCCGAGCCUCUGUUUGAGAUCUCAGAGUUUCAACGAACAUAAUGUGAGCAAAUUUUUUGAUAAUCUUGCUGAGGUAAUUGAUAGGUACAAAUUUGAGCCAAAAGAUAUCUGGAAUAUGGAUGAGACAGGGGUCCACUGUCCAAAAACUUAGCACGAUUGUUGCUCAAAAAGGAACUGAACAAGUAGGUCCAGUAACCUCAGCAGAACGUGGAAGAUUAGUAACUGUUGCUGUUGCGAUUAAUGCUCAAGGAGGACACAUACCUCCUUUUUUUCGUAUUCCCAUUGAAACAAUUCCAAGACCACAUGAUACUUGAGGGUCCUGUUGGUUGUGCCGGAGCUGGCAAUGCUAGUGGAUGGAUGCAGAAUGCAGAACUUUUACUUUUUACAUAAAUACUUGUUGAUAAUAAACAAGUAUUACAUA